ensembl:lncRNA
GAAUUGAAGGCCUCUGUGGAAAAUCGGCCUGAAGUCUGGAGGGUGUUGAAAUGCAGAAGUGAGGACUGGACCACAAUAUAGUCUUUUAAAAAUCCCUGUGGUAGUUUCUAAGAAGAUAGAGAAAACUAAUUCUGAUGGUCUAGCUAAGCUCAAAUUUGUUUGAUGCUUUGGGCUUCUAUAAUAUUCCAAAAUUCUAUGAUACAAGGUUUUAUUUCUACAGUCUUAAUGCAAAGAACAGAUUUAUGGUGCAGACCUAAGCAGAGGAGUUCUCAUGUUACUGUGUUGUUCUUGUAAUGGCUGUCAGCAUCUCUGGGUUUGUAAUGGUUUCUUAUUUUUCUUGAUUGCCAUUUGGAUACAUACCACUGUGACCUACUUUACAGGGUCGUAGUCAAACAGGAUUUCUAGUCUCUGUGAUUAAACCUUUGUGGUCUCUUUUUAAUAAAUUAAUUGCUCAUGCUUUCUUCUCGCUCUUCAUUUGUUUUCUGACCUGGAAAGUGAAAGCACAUUUCCACAUUUUUAUCUUCCAUUGGAAAUUGAAUAUAUUCAGCCAGUCUGAAAUCCCUGGGAAAAGAAGAUUCUGGCUAAAGGAGUUGUCAAAUGGCACAGUCUUGGCAAGAGAGAAGUUUUGUGCCAUCAGUUUGCAGUCCCCGUCCCUGAACACUACAGAAGAGCUUUGGGAAGAGUGUAUCUACAUCCAGGAGUGACUUUUCUCCUGUCUUGCCUCCCUGGUGAGUAUCAGUGACCCCUUAAUUCAGGUACAGGUAAGAAUGCUGCUUUCUGUGCAUUCACUUUUGGUGUGGGAUGUGUGUGCAUGAAGUUUCUGAUGAAACGAG